rnacentral:lncRNA from 1 species
AGCUGGCACUAAAGCUCCGUGCCCCAAGACACUGUGCACGGCUGAAUACUCGCACCUGGCCUGCCUCAUCGUUGACGCCGUGUGUGACUGCCACUGCGUCAACACAGCAGAUCCGUGCCAUAUCUUCAGGGACAUCCAGUGUGACGGCGGACAGAUGGCGAGCUGCACCAUCAACGGCAACGUCUGCAACUGCAUAUGCGAUACCGAAGCGUCAAACUGAUGGCGGAUUUGACGUCCAGGAGGAAGCCUUUAAUCUGAACGUUUUGUAUCAUGAAAUAAACCAUUCCAGCAAGC